rnacentral:rRNA from 1 species
GCAAGUCGAGGGGCAGCACGAGAUUUCGGUCUUGGUGGCGACCGGCGCACGGGUGCGUAACGCGUAUGCAACCUACCUUAUACAGGGGGAUAGCCCAGAGAAAUUUGGAUUAAUACCCCAUAGUACCAUUUGAUGGCAUCUGAAGAUGGUUAAAGAUUUAUUGGUAUAAGAUGGGCAUGCGUAAGAUUAGCUUGUUGGUGAGGUAAGAGCUCACCAAGGCGACGAUCUUUAGCUGUUCUGAGAGGAUGAUC